UGAGCUUUGGCUCAGUGGUAGAGCAUUUGCUUAGCAAGUAUGAAGCACUGGGUUCAAUCUCCAGUACCACAA
rnacentral:tRNA from 1 species